rnacentral:rRNA from 1 species
ACCCGCUGAACUUAAGCAUAUCACCNANCGGAGGAAAAGAAACCAACCGGGAUUGCCUUAGUAACGGCGAGUGAAGCGGCAAAAGCUCAAAUUUGAAAUCUGGUACCUUCGGUGCCCGAGUUGUAAUUUGGAGAGGGCAACUUUGGGGCCGUUCCUUGUCUAUGUUCCUUGGAACAGGACGUCAUAGAGGGUGAGAAUCCCGUGUGGCGAGGAGUGCGGUUCUUUGUAAAGUGCCUUCGAAGAGUCGAGUUGUUUGGGAAUGCAGCUCUAAGUGGGUGGUAAAUUCCAUCUAAAGCUAAAUAUUGGCGAGAGACCGAUAGCGAACAAGUACAGUGAUGGAAAGAUGAAAAGAACUUUGAAAAGAGAGUGAAAAAGUACGUGAAAUUGUUGAAAGGGAAGGGCAUUUGAUCAGACAUGGUGUUUUGUGCCCUCUGCUCCUUGUGGGUAGGGGAAUCUCGCAUUUCACUGGGCCAGCAUCAGUUUUGGUGGCAGGAUAAAUCCAUAGGAAUGUAGCUUGCCUCGGUAAGUAUUAUAGCCUGUGGGAAUACUGCCAGCUGGGACUGAGGACUGCGACGUAAGUCAAGGAUGCUGGCAUAAUGGUUAUAUGCCGCCCGUCUUGAAACACGACCAAGGAGA